rfam:Blumeria graminis f. sp. hordei DH14, WGS project CATH01000000 data, contig: 002225
GGUGGUGUGGUGUAAUGGUAGCACGUGACGUUGUGGCUAACACAUCUAACCCGUUUCAAUCUGGGUUCGAUUCCCAGCACCGCCA